UACGUAGGGGGCUAGCGUUGUCCGGAAUCAUUGGGCGUAAAGCGCGUGUAGGCGGUCCGGUAAGUCCGCUGUGAAAGUCGGGGGCUCAACCCUCGAAUGCCGGUGGAUACUGUCGGGCUAGAGUGCGGAAGAGGCGAGUGGAAUUCCUGGUGUAGCGGUGAAAUGCGCAGAUAUCAGGAGGAACACCCGUGGCGAAGGCGGCUCUCUGGGACGGUACUGACGCUGAGACGCGAAAGCGUGGGGAGCGAACAGG
rnacentral:rRNA from 1 species